rnacentral:hammerhead_ribozyme from 1 species
AUCCAGCUGAACGAGUCCCAAAUAGGACGAAACGCGCAUCAGCCUGGAU